UUACGGCCACAUCACGUUGAAACACCGCUUUUCGUACGAUCACCGAAGUUAAGCAACGUCGAAUCUGGUCAGUAGUAAGAUGGCGGACCACUUGGGAAUAUUAAAUGCCGUA